CUGGUGUAUUCCUUUAGACGGGUCAACAUCACUUCUGAUCGGUGGAUAAGGGCAUGAGGAAUGUAGCAAUCUUCGGGUUGUGUUAUAGCCUNGUGUCGCAUACACUGGUUGGGACUGAGGAAUGCAGCUCCUUUNUGGCCGGGGUUCGCCCACGUUCGAGCUUAGGAUVUUGACAAAAUGGCUU
rnacentral:rRNA from 1 species